rnacentral:rRNA from 1 species
UUUGAAUCCUGGAUCAGGAUGAACGCUGGCGGCGUGUUAACACAUGCAAGUCGAACGGUGAAGCCAGCUGCUGGGGGAUCAGUGCGGACCGGGUGAGUACCCGUGACCAUCUGCCCCUGACUCUGGGAUAACCCCUGGAAACGCGUCUAAUACGGGAUAUGAGCUGCGAUCGCAUGGUCAGUACUGGAAAGAUUUUUUGGUCAGGGAUGAGCUCGCGGCCUAUCAGCUUGUUGGUGAGGUAAUGGCUCACCAAGGCGUCGACGGGUAGCCGGCCUGAGAGGGUGACCGGCCACACUGGGACUGAGACACGGCCCAGACUCCUACGGGAGGCAGCAGUGGGGAAUAUUGCACAAUGGGCGCAAGCCUGAUGCAGCAACGCCGCGUGAGGGAUGACGGCCUUCGGGUUGUAAACCUCUUUUAGCAGGGAAGAAGCGAAAGUGACGGUACCUGCAGAAAAAGCGCCGGCUAACUACGUGCCAGCAGCCGCGGUAAUACGUAGGGCGCAAGCGUUAUCCGGAAUUAUUGGGCGUAAAGAGCUCGUAGGCGGUUUGUCGCGUCUGCUGUGAAAUCCCGAGGCUCAACCUCGGGUCUGCAGUGGGUACGGGCAGACUAGAGUGCGGUAGGGGAGAUUGGAAUUCCUGGUGUAGCGGUGGAAUGCGCAGAUAUCAGGAGGAACACCGAUGGCGAAGGCAGAUCUCUGGGCCGUAACUGACGCUGAGGAGCGAAAGGGUGGGGAGCAAACAGGCUUAGAUACCCUGGUAGUCCACCCCGUAAACGUUGGGAACUAGUUGUGGGGUCCAUUCCACGGAUUCCGUGACGCAGCUUAACCGCCAAUUUAA